CUGAAUGUCGGCCAUUUGCUUUCGUAACUCAGAAUCCAUUCAAGAUUCUUUGAUUAUUCUUUUGCCAAUCACUGGCUCUUCUAGGGCCACUAUAUUUGGCCUCAUCUGUUUAAACAUCUCAGUGAGUGCGUCCACUGAGAACGGUUCUUCACUUUGCGCGACAACCUGAGUUUCUUCUCCGUCUUGUACUACCCUGAUAGGUCCAUAGUUUCCUUCGUACAUGAACUUUUCCACUGAGUUU
rnacentral:lncRNA from 1 species